UACGGGAGGCAGCAGUGGGGAAUCUUGCGCAAUGGGCGAAAGCCUGACGCAGCAACGCCGCGUGCGGGAUGAAGGCCUUCGGGCUGUAAACCGCUUUCAGCAGGAACGAAAAUGACGGUACCUGCAGAAGAAGGAGCGGCCAACUACGUGCCAGCAGCCGCGGUGACACGUAGGCUCCAAGCGUUGUCCGGAUUUAUUGGGCGUAAAGAGCUCGUAGGCGGUUUAGUAAGUCGGGUGUUAAAACUUUGGGCUCAACCCGGAGAGGCCAUCCGAUACUGCUGUGACUUGAGUUCAGGAGGGGAGCGGGGAAUUCCUAGUGUAGCGGUGAAAUGCGCAGAUAUUAGGAGGAACACCGGUGGCGAAGGCGCCGCUCUGGACUGAAACUGACGCUGAGGAGCGAAAGCAUGGGUAGCAAACAGGAUUAGAUACCCUGGUAGUCCAUGCCGAAACGGUGGGCACUAGGUGUGGGUUCCAACUAACGGGAUCCGCGCCGUCGCUAACGCAUAA
rnacentral:rRNA from 1 species